UGGUCAUUACCAAGGAUUUUAGAACACCAUUUCUGAGUACUGUGUACUUGACCAUUAAAAAAAAAAAAAAAUUCCCACUAGGUUUUCUCUUUGCUACCUUGCUAGCAUUCAACCAAUUGGGAACAUUU